GACGAACGCCUGGCGGGGUGCCUAAUACCUGCCAAGUAGAACGCUGAAGGAAAGGAGCUUGCUCUUUCCGGGUUAAUUUCGAACGGGUGAGUAAGGCGUAGGUAAACCUGCCUGGUAGCGGGGGAUAACUAUUGGGAAACCGAUAGCUAAUACCGCAUAACAGUAGAUUUCGCAUGAUAUUUUGCUUGGAAAGGUGCAAUUUGCACCACUUCCCAGAUGGACCUGCGUUUGUUUUUAGCUAGUUUGUGAGGUAACCGGCUCCCCCAAGGCAACGAUACAUAGCCGACCUGAGAGGGUGAUCGGCCACACUGGGACUAGACACGGCCCAGACUCCUACGGGAGGCAGCAGUAGGGAAUCUUCGGCAAUGGACGGAAGUCUGACCGAGCAACGCCGCGUGAGUGAAGAAGGUUUUCGGAUCGUAAAGCUCUGUUGUAAGAGAAGAACGAGUGUGAGAGUGGAAAGUUCACACUGUGACGGUAUCUUACCAGAAAGGGACGGCUAACUACGUGCCAGCAGCCGCGGUAAUACGUAGGUCCCGAGCGUUGUCCGGAUUUAUUGGGCGUAAAGCGAGCGCAGGCGGUUAGAUAAGUCUGAAGUUAAAGGCUGUGGCUUAACCAUAGUACGCUUUGGAAACUGUUUAACUUGAGUGCAAGAGGGGAGAGUGGAAUUCCAUGUGUAGCGGUGAAAUGCGUAGAUAUAUGGAGGAACACCAGUGGCGAAAGCGGCUCUCUGGCUUGUAACUGACGCUGAGGCUCGAAAGCGUGGGGAGCAAACAGG
rnacentral:rRNA from 1 species